GUGGACUGGACCUGGAGGAACAUCUUGGUGGCAGCAGCUACAGGUGCGCACUCUCAGGACCAGUUGGUGCAGUCUGGGGCUGAGGUGAAGAAGCCUCUGUCCUCAGUGAAGGUCUCCUUCAAGGCUUCUGGAUACACCUUCACCAACAACUUUAUGCACUGGGUGUGACAGGCCCCUGGACAAGGACUUGAGUGGAUGGGAUGGAUCAAUGCUGGCAAUGGUAACACAACAUAUGCACAGAAGUUCCAGGGCAGAGUCACCAUAACCAGGGACACGUCCAUGAGCACAGCCUACACGGAGCUGAGCAGCCUGAGAUCUGAGGACAUGGCCGUGUAUUACUGUGCGAGA
rnacentral:lncRNA from 1 species